AUCCAGUUGAUGAAUCCGAAAUAGGACGAAACGUGCAUCCUGGAU
rnacentral:hammerhead_ribozyme from 1 species